rnacentral:lncRNA from 1 species
UGAUUUAGCAAAAUUCCAAAAGCGUUCUCUUUUUUAAUUACGCAAUGAUGUGUAAUAAACUCGUCGAAUAAAAGGUGCGUUAGUGCGUUUGAGUCGAGAGGAGGGAGUUACGGUUCUCGUUUGAAAGCCAAGGGGCAACACAAAAAGAAAGUAUUUGGCAACACUCCUGAGACGGGACAACAAGCAAAUAACAGUAGACUUCGUGUAAGCAUUCGACCUGCAAAACGUUUGGCAGUAUUCUCAAGAAUCAGUCGAGUUGUUGUUUUGAAGCAAGUUUCCUUUUGGACCGCUUGGAAUAGGUUUCUUUUUUCUGGAACUAUUGGUUUCUCGCGCAGAAGCGGAUUGGUUCAAACCCAAGAAAGCGAGACUAUUCAAGCCAUCGACUCACUGAUGGUUGAAGAUGAUGAGCGAUUGACAAAUGCAGUCUGGAAUCUGCUUGCAUCACAGCACAACAUCGCUCUAAGCACAAUCAGAAGACAGUUGAAGAAACUUGAGUGGACUUAUGGAAAUACUCUGUAAGCUAUAUUAGGGUUCGUCAACUACAGUUGAAGUCAGAUGUUUACAUACACCUUAGCCAAAUACAGUUUUUCACAAUUCCAUUUAAUCCUAGUAAAAAUUUCCUGUCUAAGGUCAGUUAGGAUCACCACUUUAUUUUAAGAAUGUGAAACAUCAGGAUAAUAGUAGUGAUUUAUUUCAGCUUUUAUUUCUUUCAUCACAUUCCCAGCGAGUCAGAAGUUUACAUACACUCAAUUAGUAUUUGGUAGCAUUGCCUUUAAGUCGUUUGACUUGGGUCAAGGUAUUUUCUUUGGAUUUUUCCAGCAUGUCAAGCAAAGAGGCACUGGGUUUGAAGCUAGGCCUUGAAAUACAUCCACAGGUACACCUCCAAUUGACUCAAAUUAUGUCAAUUAGCCUAUGAGAAACUUCGAAAGCCAUGACAGCAUUUUCUGGAAUUUUCCAAGCUGUUUAAAGGCACAGUCAACUUUUGUGUAUGUAAACUUCUGACCCACUGGAAUUGUGAUACAGUGAAAUAAUCGGUCUGUAAACAAUUGUUGGAAAAAUUACUUGUGUCAUGCACAAAGUAGAUGUCCUAACCGACUUGCCAAAACUAUAGUUUGUUAACAAGCAAUGUGUGGAGUGGUUGAGAAACAAGUUUUAAUGACUCCAACCUAAGUUUAGUAAACUUCCGACU